rnacentral:misc_RNA from 1 species
UGGGCUGAACUACGCAGGAAAAGCCACAGAGAUGUGGUGUCCGUAAGGGCCUGCGAUAGGUGUUGCAUGGCUGUCGUCAGCUCGUGCCGUGAGGUGUUGGAUUAAGUUCCGCAACGAGCGCAACCCCCGUCUUUAGUUGCCAGCACGUAAUGGUGGGGACUCUAGAGAGACCGCCGGCGACAAGCCGGAGGAAGGUGGGGAUGACGUGUCCUUGAUAGG